GAUGAAGAACGUAGCGAAAUGCGAUAAGUAAUGUGAAUUGCAGAAUUCAGUGAAUCAUCGAAUCUUUGAACGCACCUUGCGCUCUUUGGUAUUCCGAAGAGCAUGCCUGUUUGAGUGUCAUGAAAAUAUCAACCUUGACUUGGGUUUUGUGCUCUAGUCUCGGCUUGGAAUUGGGUGCUUGCCGCUUUUACGAGCGGCUCACCUUAAAUGUAUUAGCUGGAUCUGUCUUUGAGACUUGGUUUGACUUGGCGUAAUAAGUAUUUCGCUAAGGACAUUCUUCGGAGUGGCCUCGUUUCUAGGACGCUUGUCCGCUUUCCAAUACAAGUUCCACCUCGUGGACAUGACUUUUUAUUAUCUGGCCUCAAAUCAGGUAGGACUACCCGCUGAACUUAAGCAUCUCAAUAAGCGGAGGA
rnacentral:misc_RNA from 1 species